AUGGCAGCCAUACUUGAAUCUUUGCUUGGAUCAUGUGCCAGUAAGUUGCAAAAUAUCAUUACAGAUGAGGCGAUACUAAUCCUUGGGGUGGAAGACGAUCUCAGAGAAGUCCUGCGACGAGUAGAACUAAUACAAUGUUGCAUAUAUGAUGCGGAGAAAAGGAGGACAAAAGAGCUAGCAGUAAACAAUUGGCUCGGCCAACUGAGAGAUAUUAUAUAUGAUGUUGAUGAAAUCCUGGACGUGGCUAGGUGUAAAGGAAGCAAGCUACUGCCUGAUGAUCCUUCAUCAUCAUCAAACAAAUCGGCUGCAUGUAAAGGCCUCUCAGUUUCCUCUUGCUUUUGUAACAUUGGAUCACGUCGUGAUGUUGCUGUUCGGAUUAGAAGCCUCAACAAAAAGAUUGAGAACAUUGCAAAUGACAAGAUAUUCUUCACAUUCAACAAUAGUACACAGCCUCCUGGAAAUGGUCCAACAUCUAGACUGAUAAGAAGUUUCAACCUUGUUGAGCCCAACCUUGUGGGAAAGGAGAUCAUACAUUCCAGCAGGAAGUUGGUGGACUUGGUGCUUGCACACAAGGAAUACAAGUCUUAUAAGCUCGGUAUUGUUGGAACGGGUGGAGUUGGAAAGACAACACUAGCUCAGAAAAUAUACAAUGACCAAAAAAUAAAAGGAAGCUUCAAUCUACAAGCAUGGAUUUGUGUUUCGCGAGACUACAAUGAAGUUACUCUCCUGAAAGAGGUUCUCCGGAAUAUUGGUGUGCAUCAUGAGCAGAGCUCCAAAGGAAGCUUGCAGAAACAAUUGAAGGGAAGAGUUUCUUUCUGGUUCUAG
rnacentral:rRNA from 1 species